rnacentral:rRNA from 1 species
CCUACGGGGUGCUGCAGUGGGGAAUAUUGGACAAUGGGCGAAAGCCUGAUCCAGCCAUGCCGCGUGUGUGAAGAAGGCCUUCGGGUUGUAAAGCACUUUCAGUGGGGAAGAAAGCCUUGGGGCUAAUACCCUCGAGGAAGGACAUCACCCACAGAAGAAGCACCGGCUAACUCCGUGCCAGCAGCCGCGGUAAUACGGAGGGUGCGAGCGUUAAUCGGAAUUACUGGGCGUAAAGCGCGCGUAGGCGGUCUGAUAAGCCGGUUGUGAAAGCCCCGGGCUCAACCUGGGAACGGCAUCCGGAACUGUCAGGCUAGAGUGCAGGAGAGGAAGGUAGAAUUCCCGGUGUAGCAGUGAAAUGCGUAGAGAUCGGGAGGAAUACCAGUGGCGAAGGCGGCCUUCUGGACUUACACUGACGCUGAGGUGCGAAAGCGUGGGUAGCAAACAGGAUUAGAUACCCGUGUAGUC